rnacentral:rRNA from 1 species
CGCGAAUUGCUCAUUACAACAGCCAUUGUUUACUGGAUCUUAAUAUCCUACUUGGAUAACUGUGGUAAUUCUAGAGCUAAUACACGCAAACAGCUCUGACCGCAAGGGAUGAGCGCAUUUAUUAGAACAAAACCAAUCGGGCUUGCCUGUCUUUGGUGGAUCUGAAUAACUCAGUUGAUCGCAUGGUCUCGCACCGGCGACGUAUCUUCCAAGUGUCUGCCUUAUCAACUUUUGAUGGUAGUUUAUGCGACUACCAUGGUUGUAACGGGUAACGGAGAAUAAGGGUUCGACUCCGGAGAGGGAGCCUGAGAAAUGGCUACCACAUCCAAGGAAGGCAGCAGGC